CAUCAGCAAAUUUCAUCUCUUUCCUUCUUCACAGGCCUCUUGUGGUUGGCACCUUUCCCACCAGUCUCAGAUGGGAAAGCCAAAUCCCUCAGAACUCUACUGCCCAAGAGCACGAGGCACUCAAAAGGUGGACUAGAACCCAAGUCCAGUUCUCCUUCUCCUGGAGCAGGCUAUCCUCCAGUAAAGAGCUUGAAAAAUACUGAAUUAAUAUCAAGUUCAAAUAAUCGAGAACAACAUUUAGCUAAACUAUUUGGUUUCAUCAAAGCAGCUAGUGUUGCUGGGUAUUCUACUGAACCAAGAUUUCUCCUUGGCAGCAUGGACAGAAUUUCUAUUAAUGGGAGGAGGGAUAAGGAACCCUCUCUCGUCAAUGGGAACAUAAAUGAGCGGCUUACUACUGGUGAUGAAGAAGGAUUUCAAGAAGCAGUUAGGACAGGUAACGAUAUGUAUAGUGUAGGUUAAAUGAGACCCGGAAGUACAGAUAACGCCAGAAUGCAUCUGCGCCUUUCAUGGUAUUUUAACAGAGUAGAUGUCAGCGCACCUUUAAUUUAUCCACAAAAGCAUCCGAUAUCCUGUUAAAAUGAUGAAUUAAAGUAUCUCUGGUAAUUUGAUCACCUUUUCAAAAAGAUGCUGCUUUUAGUUGUUUCUACACAGCCAAGGUCAUUCCUAACAUGGGCAUCAUCUUCUGAGCCUCUGCCAUUACUGCACUGAGGCUUCCUAACAAGCAGGAGGGAUUAAAUCCAAAUACUGACCUCUGAUCUUCAACCUUGGAUGACCUGAGCCUGGGCCCAUUCAGAACAAGUAGAAACUUGUCCAUCAUGGUACCAAGUGCAGUACACUCCUCCACGUGGCCUCUCGCUAUCAAAAGUACAACUGGUUGUCACUUUCUAACUUGAAGAAAUUAAAUGCUGACUUAUUCCAACAGAAUAACAGCCCUUAGAGUUGCUUGGUGCUGCUGCCUCUCGCUGUAGCACAAAUGAAAGUGGCAAAUUGGAUAUUUCCAGUUUUCUCCCCAUAGCCCAAGAUGGCCCUUGGCCAGCAUCCCCCUGCCUGUAUUGCUAGGCACCCCUCAGUGGUUUUCCACACCAAACCAUCCAGUUCCUGUCAUGGAAUGUUUGUGCUCCAUUGCCCUGAUUCCUCCUUUUGUCACAUUACAAAUGGAGUGAUAGAAGCUCUAGGAUUCCUUGAUGUCAGCUGGGGUCUCUAGUUAAUGCUACCAAGCCCACACUUGGUGGCAUUCCCAACCUACCCUCAAGAUUUCUGCAAGUCCCUACAGUCCGUAAGAGCUUAAGAUCGUCUGGCAGAAUGUUUAUACUUGUGCGUGAAAUUCCCCCAAACCUACGCACUUGAGGCUGAUUAUAUAUAUGGCGGGAACCUGAAGCUGGGACAGUGGGGUGAUGGGGGGAAGCUUCAUACUGAAUAUUUGACUCCAUUGUUUUCAGUAGCCAUUGUAGAGCUUUCCACUUCCUCGGGGGCCCCUGCCUUCUCCUUCCAUCUGACCUCUCCUCUGUUCUUCUCCUCCUGCAAACCGUACCUUGUUGUCCCUUCUUGGGGAAGAAGCUUUGCUGCUUGCUGGCUCAUAUCCUCAGCAUCUCAUCUCCACCACCAAACAGCAUCUGAUGUCACUGCCAGACAAUAUAUGAGUUUAUUAUCUUAAGGCCAGUUUCUUCUUCAAGAGGACUUCUGAAGCCAGCAGCUAAAAUUACUAAGGUUUUCAGAUCUGCUGGAAGCCGAGCUAAUAGGAUGUCCCUGCAGAUCUAUCAAGGGCUGUCUCUUUCUGUUUACUUUGCCAUGUGUCUUUUCAUCUAGAUACUCAAGAUAAGAAUGUGCCAUGUACACAGCUUCUGCACUUUCUCCAGAGGAACAUCAUCCUUGCCGCUGCCUCGGUGGCGGGAAUCCUCGUGGUCACAACGUUGUUGCUGCUGGCAUUGACCACGUGCAUCAGGAGGAAACGGCCAUUGUGAGUGGCUCUUAGCUCCCAUUUGCUUCAAAGAAUUCAUGGGUAUUUGUGACAAUGGAGCCCCAGAGCUUCUUGCUAAUCCUGGAGUUAGGAGGAAGGCAGGGACAUCUAAGCCUGGUUGUGUAGUCAUAAAGUACAAUGGCCCAGGCUAUGAAUUUUUAAGCAUUGUCUUGGUGGUUUUUUUUUUUUUUUAAGAUUUUUUAUUCAUUUAUGACAGACACAGAGAGAGAGGCAGAGACACAGGCAGAGGGAGAAGCAGGCUCCAUGCAGGGAGCCCGACAUGGGACUCGAUCCCCGGUUUCCAGGAUCACACAUCCCAGGCCGAAGGCAGCGCUAAACCACUGGGGUUGCCCUGCCUUGGUGGUUUUGAUGCGUAGCUGGGUAUGGCUUGGACCCUGCUUGCCUCUAAAGACCUUAGGUUAGGCUACACCUAUUUCCACACUGAGGGCCACUAAAUGAGGAGAUGGUACAGCCUCUGGCUGAAAGAUUGGAAAAUAAAAAUAUGAGGGCAGGGUGGGAUGAGGCUGUG
rnacentral:lncRNA from 1 species